rnacentral:tRNA from 1 species
GGAUGUAGUUCAGUGGUAGAGUGCUUGCCUGGCAUGCAUGAGGUCCUGGGUUCAAUUCCUAAUACCA